rnacentral:lncRNA from 1 species
UUUUGUGUGACCAUGAAAACUCUCCCCAGGUGCCACCGCUUUAGCUAGGUUCAGAUGGAAAAAUUUUCCUUUCCACAUAAUGCUGAUAUCAAACCAAACAUAUUAAUGGAAAUUAAACUAUCAUAAUUGUUGACAAUUAAGUGUGAGGAAUUAGAGGUGCAGCAAAAUAGGAGUUUAUCAAACUAUCAUAAUGGUUGGCAACUAAGUGUGAGGACUUCAAGGUACAGCAAAAUAGGAGUUUAGGGCCUCGAUGUGAAGAAUUAGAGAUGCACCAAAAUAAGGAUUUAGAGCAUAAAGAUCCAGCAAAAUAGAGGUUUAGGGCCUCUACAAGCAGUUGAUCCUGUAGCAUCCUGAUGAAUAUUUUAGAAGAAAUAUAUGAUGAAAUCUUAAUAGUUCAAACUGUCUAUCUCCUUGAGGCCAGUGACUUUGGAAAAGAAUGGAAUAAUUCAGGAGGAAGUGAUAUGGAAGAGUAGUAACCUUUGUAGUAUUUCUAUAUAGGAUGUGGAUGAGGAAAAGGAUUAUACCAUGUUCUCACAAAC